rnacentral:rRNA from 1 species
UACGGGGGGGGCAAGCGUUGUCCGGAAUUACUGGGCGUAAAGGGCUCGUAGGUGGCCUGCUAAGUCAGACGUGAAAUCCCUCGGCUCAACCGGGGAACUGCGUCUGAGACUGGCGGGCUCGAGGACAGGAGAGGAACGCGGAAUUCCAGGUGUAGCGGUGAAAUGCGUAGAUAUCUGGAGGAACACCGGUGGCGAAGGCGGCGUUCUGGACUGUUUCUGACACUGAGGAACGAAAGCCAGGGGAGCAAACGGG